UGUUUCGGCUAGGGGGCCAUCCCGGCUUACCAACCCGAUGCAAACUGCGAAUACCGGAGAAUGUUAUCACGGGAGACACACGGCGGGUGCUAACGUCCGUCGUGAAGAGGGAAACAACCCAGACCGCCAGCUAAGGUCCCAAAGUCAUGGUUAAGUGGGAAACGAUGUGGGAAGGCCCAGACAGCCAGGAUGUUGGCUUAGAAGCAGCCAUCAUUUAAAGAAAGCGUAAUAGCUCACUGGUCGAGUCGGCCUGCGCGGAAGAUGUAACGGGGCUAAACCAUGCACCGAAGCUGCGGCAGCGA
rnacentral:rRNA from 2 species